GGUUGUGAUCAUACCAGCACUAAUGCACCGGAUCCCAACAGAACUCCGCAGUUAAGCGUGCUUGGGCGAGAGUAGUACUCGGAUGGGUGACCCCCUGGGAAGUCCUCGUGUUGCAACCCC
rnacentral:rRNA from 1 species